rnacentral:rRNA from 1 species
UACAGAGGGUGCGAGCGUUGUUCGGAAUUAUUGGGCGUAAAGGGUGCGUAGGUGGUGAGGUAAGUCGGAUGUGAAAUCUCCGAGCUCAACUCGGAAAUGGCAUUGGAAACUACCUUGCUCGAGGGUUGGAGGGGGGACUGGAAUGCUUGGUGUAGCAGUGAAAUGCGUAGAUAUCAAGCGGAACACCAGUGGCGAAGGCGAGUCCCUGGACAACUCCUGACACUGAGGCACGAAAGCUAGGGGAGCAAACAGG